UAACUGGUGACAUUUGAAAGAGACAUAUUGGACAGAAAUGACAUACGUGAAAGCUAAGAUACAAUAUAUUUAAUUUUCUAAGAAUUCAGUUCAAGGUAGUCUGCCUGGUUUCUCAAGUUCUGCAUGUUUCUUCAGUAGACUAAAUAAUGAUAAGGAAGCUGAGAUGUAGAGCUGAAGUGUCUUGCCCAAGAUCAUUUGUCUAGUUCUUCCUUAUGCCAGUCCACCAAGAAUACCUGCUUAAAGGCCAGCUGCAGCUCCUGUUCCACUUCCUUUCUUGUACUGCUGAACAUCCAGAUAGAGGCAUUGACAUGCAUGGUUUCCAACUGAUCACUUCCUACUCCCUUAAGGACCUCCUGUCAGGCAGUUUUGCUAAUUUCUUUAAUAUCAGAAGACAGCUGGAUUCUCA
rnacentral:lncRNA from 10 species